GACGUAGGGCGCGAGCGUUGUCCGGAUUUAUUGGGCGUAAAGAGCUCGUAGGCGGCUUGUCGCGUCGACCGUGAAAACUUGGGGCUCAACCCCAAGCCUGCGGUCGAUACGGGCAGGCUCGAGUUCGGUAGGGGAGACUGGAAUUCCUGGUGUAGCGGUGAAAUGCGCAGAUAUCAGGAGGAACACCGGUGGCGAAGGCGGGUCUCUGGGCCGUAACUGACGCUGAGGAGCGAAAGCGUGGGGAGCGAACAGG
rnacentral:rRNA from 1 species